rnacentral:rRNA from 1 species
AGAGUUUGAUCAUGGCUCAGGACGAACGCUGGCGGCGUGCUUAACACAUGCAAGUCACGGGGGCCCGCAAGGGCAACCGGCGAACGGGUGCGUAACACGUGAACAACCUGCCCUCGUGUGGGGGAUAGCCGGGCUAACGCCCGGGUAAUACCGCAUACGUUCCCUUGGGGGAGUCCCUGGGGAGGAAAGCUCCGGCGCACGGGGAGGGGUUCGCGGCCUAUCAGCUAGUUGGCGGGGUAAUGGCCCACCAAGGCGACGACGGGUAGCUGGUCUGAGAGGAUGGCCAGCCACAUUGGGACUGAGAGACGGCCCAGACUCCUACGGGAGGCAGCAGUGGGGAAUCUUGCGCAAUGGCCGAAAGGCUGACGCAGCGACGCCGCGUGUGGGAGGACGCCUUUCGGGGUGUAAACCACUGUUGCCCGGGACGAACGGCUCGAUUCGUCGAGCGUGACGGUACCGGGUGAGGAAGCACCGGCUAACUCCGUGCCAGCAGCCGCGGUAAUACGGAGGGUGCGAGCGUUGUCCGGAAUCAUUGGGCGUAAAGGGCGCGUAGGUGGCCCGGUCAGUUCGUGGUGAAAGCGCGGGGCUCAACCCUGCGUCGGCCAUGAAUACUGCCGCGGCUGGAGCACUGUAGAGGCAGGCGGAAUUCCGGGUGUAGCGGUGGAAUGCGUAGAGAUCCGGAAGAACACCGGUGGCGAAGGCGGCCUGCUGGGCAGUUGCUGACACUGAGGCGCGACAGCGUGGGGAGCAAACGGGAUUAGAUACCCUGGUAGUCCACGCCGUAAACGAUGGGCACUAGGCGCUUGGGGGAGCGACCCCCCGAGGGCCGGCGCUAACGCAUUAAGUGCCCCGCCUGGGGAGUACGGCCGCAAGGCUGAACUCAAAGGAAUUGACGGGGGCCCGCACAAGCGGUGGAGCAUGUGGUUUAAUUCGACGCAACGCGAAGAACCUUACCUAGGCCU